GCUGAAAUGGGGUGGGGCAGUACACUCAUCCAUCAUAUUUUUUUGAAAUUCAAAACAUCCUAUCACUAAGCGAAACAUGGUGAUGAGAAAGAAAAAAACAAAACAAAAAUAAAACAUUUGCUUCCUCUAUCCAUCGUAAAAGAAAAAAAUAAACAGAAGAAGAAAUCUUCCUCUUCCAACCUACACCUCUUUCUUUCUCUCGCUUGCUUUUUCAAGAAUUCAACUGGUCAAAACUGGGGUUCCC
rnacentral:lncRNA from 1 species